rnacentral:rRNA from 1 species
UAACGGCGAGUGAAGCGGCAACAGCUCAAAUUUGAAUCUGGCUUCGGCCCGAGUUGUAAUUUGCAGAGGAUGCUUCGGGCAAGGUGCCUCCCGAGUCCACUGGAACGUGGCGCCACAGAGGGUGAGAGCCCCGUAUGGUUGGACACCGCGCCUGUGUGAAGCUCCCCUCGACGAGUCGAGUAGCUUGGGAAUGCUGCUCUAAACGGGAGGUAAAUUCCUUCCAAAGCUAAAUACCGGCCCGAGACCGAUAGCGCACAAGUAGAGUGAUCGAAAGAUGAAAAGCACUUUGGAAAGAGAGUCAAAUAGCACGUGAAAUUGUUGAAAGGGAAGGAUUUGUGACCAGACUUUGCGCCGUACGGAUCUCCCGGUGUUCUCACCGGUGCACUCCGCGCGGUUCAGGCCAGCAUCGGUUUUCGGCGGGGGGACGAAAAGCGGGGGGAACGUAGCUCCCCCCGGGGAGUGUUAUAGCCCGCCGCAAAAUACCCCGCCGUC